UAAAAACGUGGUGAGGUUACAAAAUGUAAUCAAAUGUAAUCGAUCAAAAAUUUAGAAAAUAUAUUUUUUUAAGAAAGUGUGAGGUAAGAAUCAUGAGCUUACAAUAAACUGUUGCAAGAUAUCUUCAUCAAGCAAAUUAGAGCGAUUGUUUUCAAUAAGAACGCUCAGAAUACUAGUACAAGGACUGAUCACUGCAGAUAACAGCGCUAAAAUGUCGCCAGACAGGAUGGCCCCCCCCCCCUCCACCGCGGGGAUUUUGGUCCUCUCACUCGUAAGCUAGCUUUACGUUUCGUUCAGAUAUUCGUACGUCCAUGAUCUUAACACAGACUUCUAUGGGUACGUUUGGGGAGUUCGCUACUAACGUUAUCGAACGCUAAUGUUGUUCGGAAAGCUCCCUACCAACGCUACGAACGCCAUCCGUGACGUCAUUGUCGAUAGUGUUUGCCGCCAUAACUUGCAUUACCAACGCUCUUGCCUCUGAGUUUCCUGUGGUUUCCUGUCUGUUCCGUUCCCGCCA